rnacentral:rRNA from 1 species
UACGUAGGGGGCAAACGUUGUCCGGAUUCAUUGGGCGUAAAGAGCGUGUAGGCGGCCAGGUAGGUCGGUUGUGAAAACUGGAGGCUCAACCUUCAGAGGUCGACCGAAACCAUCUGGCUAGAGUCCGGGAGAGGAGAGUGGAAUUCCUGGUGUAGCGGUGAAAUGCGCAGAUAUCAGGAAGAACACCCGUGGCGAAAGCGGCUCUCUGGAACGGUACUGACGCUGAGACGCGAAAGCGUGGGGAGCGAACAGG